CAAAUACUCCCUCCGUUCGGAAUUACUUGUCAUAGAAAUGGAUGUAUAUAGACGUAUUUUAGUUCUAGAUAUAUCCAUUUUAUCCAUUUCUGUGGCAUGUAAUUCAGGACGAAGAGAGUAGUUA
rfam:Triticum aestivum genome assembly, contig: Triticum_aestivum_CS42_TGACv1_scaffold_224994_3B